CCUGAGAUGGCCCGCCCUUUGCCCCCUGGGCCCUUCACAAAGGGGUGAGUGCAGGAGGCGCCCUUGCUGGUAGGUGGCCCCUGGCACACUCACCCAUGAGCCACCACCUGACGGGGAGGCCCAAUGGACAGACAACUGAUGGCGCUCUGUGGCCAGGUUGCCCUGGUCUCACAAAGAAUUGCAAAGCCCUGUCUGGCCCUCACACUCCCCUGGGUCCCACACAAACCUCAGGUCUGAGGCCCGAGAGCACCCCAGCCUGGCGCAGGCCCCACCUGUCAGCUGCUAGCUACAGGACUCUCCCUGAGCUUCCCACUGCACCCCAGGAGCCAGCAUCUCAGGCCAGGGACCAGACCUGGGGCCAGACCCCCUCCCACCUGGAGCGGCCUCUGCAGGCAGAACCACCCAGGAUGGUGAAGGCCAUGGGACAGGGUCCUCAGUCCUCAGGGUCCUCCAGCCCGGGGCAGGCGGGGACCCUGGCCCAAGUCUCUGGGCUCUGCCCCCACGGCUCCGUGGCCCGCCCCCCUCCCUGCCUCUGACCUGACAGCUGCUGGGGGCCCGGAGGGCGGUGGGAGGAGCCCGCUGCCAAGAGGCUGUGCCUGCAAUUCCAAGGGCUGCCGCCAGGGGGCGCGAAUCGCGCGUCACGAAAACCGUGGACGGCCACGUGGGCCUCCCCGAGCCGCCCCCGCACCUCCCGUGGGUGGACCCUGUCUCCCUGCGCUUCGGCAGAAAUCACAGUGUUUGUUCAGAGCCUGGUGUUUUCCUCCCGGCCCUAAGGAGGAAAAGCCACUCCCCCUGCCUGCCAGAUCCUUUCCUGCCCAAAGCUACCCAGUGUGCACCCCACCUCUCGCAGGCCAGCCCUGACCCCUCUAGGCAGGGUGUCUUGUGCCCUAUCCCGCUGUGACAUGGGCGCCCGCGCUGCCCCCUCACCGCCCGCCAAGCACGGCUCCGCCCGCAUUCGGGGUCUGGGGCAGAGGGCCACGGUGACGCCUUCAGAGCCAGCCUAUGGAGGCGGAAACAGUCCCUGAAGGAAAGAGCCUGUCCCCAAGUCCCUGGAGGUCGAGGCGGAUGGAGGCCGCAGUUCCCACCCCCGUCGGCUGGAGGAGGGCGCAGCUGACGCUAACAAGCAUCGGCUCCGCGAGACCCCCCGCUGAGGGGUGGGUGCAGGUGCUAUCUGCAUUUUACCAGUGAGGGAAACUAAGGCCCAGGCAGCGCGGGGAGUGGGGAUGGAAG
rnacentral:lncRNA from 1 species